rnacentral:snoRNA from 1 species
CCCCUUUUAAAAACACUCGGUGGGCCUUGUGCUAAUGACCCGUUGAGCUGUCAAUAAGGGGAAGAGUAAGAACACAGCUUUUGGGUGAAGUGGCAGUGUGUUGUGUUGUUUUGCUUCAAUCGGUGGUGUGACAAGG